AGAGUUUGAUUCUGGCUCAGGACGAACGCUGGCGGCGUGCUUAACACAUGCAAGUCGAACGAUGAAGCCUAGCUUGCUAGGUGGAUUAGUGGCGAACGGGUGAGUAAUACGUGAGUAACCUACCUUUAACUCUGGGAUAAGCCUGGGAAACUGGGUCUAAUACCGGAUACGACCAAUCUCCGCAUGGGGUGUUGGUGGAAAGCGUUAUGUAGUGGUUAUAGAUGGGCUCACGGCCUAUCAGCUUGUUGGUGAGGUAACGGCUCACCAAGGCGACGACGGGUAGCCGGCCUGAGAGGGUGACCGGCCACACUGGGACUGAGACACGGCCCAGACUCCUACGGGAGGCAGCAGUGGGGAAUAUUGCACAAUGGGCGCAAGCCUGAUGCAGCGACGCCGCGUGAGGGAUGACGGCCUUCGGGUUGUAAACCUCUGUUAGCAGGGAAGAAGAGAGAUUGACGGUACCUGCAGAGAAAGCGCCGGCUAACUACGUGCCAGCAGCCGCGGUAAUACGUAGGGCGCGAGCGUUGUCCGGAAUUAUUGGGCGUAAAGAGCUUGUAGGCGGUUUGUCGCGUCUGCUGUGAAAGGCCGGGGCUUAACCCCGUGUAUUGCAGUGGGUACGGGCAGACUAGAGUGCAGUAGGGGAGACUGGAAUUCCUGGUGUAGCGGUGGAAUGCGCAGAUAUCAGGAGGAACACCGAUGGCGAAGGCAGGUCUCUGGGCUGUAACUGACGCUGAGAAGCGAAAGCAUGGGGAGCGAACAGGAUUAGAUACCCUGGUAGUCCAUGCCGUAAACGUUGGGCACUAGGUGUGGGGGACAUUCCACGUUUUCCGCGCCGUAGCUAACGCAUUAAGUGCCCCGCCUGGGGAGUACGGCCGCAAGGCUAAAACUCAAAGGAAUUGAC
rnacentral:rRNA from 1 species